rnacentral:rRNA from 1 species
CGCGUAGGCGGUCUCUUAAGUCAGAUGUGAAAGCCCGGGGCUUAACCUCGGAAGUGCAUUUGAAACUAAGGGACUUGAGUAUGGGAGAGGGAAGUGGAAUUCCUGGUGUAGCGGUGAAAUGCGUAGAUAUCAGGAGGAACACCGGUGGCGAAGGCGACUUCCUGGACCAAUACUGACGCUGAGGCGCGAAGGCGUGGGGAGCGAACAGGAUUAGAUACCCUGGUAGUCC